AUAUAUUGCAUAACAUAUAAUAUUUUAUAUUUUUCUCCUCUCUAGAGGAGACAGUUAAGCUGACUUUUUGAGAAGGAUCAAUAUUUUGCCAGGUAGGCAUGUAAGAAAAUUUCCUGCCAGAAGGUGGACAGGAAAGGUUGCCAAGAGGACAAAUGCCCUGGAAAAAACUGUAAAACCCUUCUCAAGACAGACUAGAGGGUGGAAGUGAGGACUCCAAUAGCAGUGGACAAACAUUUCUCUUUCCUCUCAGAUUGCUUGCACCAUGGUGGCCCCUGCCCAGUAGCCUCCUUGGCCUGGCUGCGGGAAGCGUAAAGGCAAGGCUCAGUAUGUGUUGGCCAAGUGGGCGCUGCGAUACCGGCGGGCCCUGUCAGCUAGAGCCCAGGCUACAGGGCAUCCUCAUCACCUGCAACAUGAACAAGCGCAAGUGCGUGGAGGAGGCCUACAGUUUGCUCAACAAAUACAGCGACGACAUGUAUGGGCCAGAAAAGCUUACAGACAAGGAUCAGCACCCCUCUGGAAGUGAGGGAGAAGAUGAUGAUGUGGAGGCUGCCUUGAAGAAAGAAGUUGGUGAUAUUAAGGUAUCUACAGAGAUGAGGCUAAGAAGAUUCCAGUCAGUGGAAAGUGGAGCAAAUAACGUCAUCUUCAUCAGGACACUUGGGAUAGAACCUGAGAAAUUGGUGCAUCAUAUUCUUCAGGAUAUGUACAAAACCAAGAAGAAGAAGACUUGAGUUAUUCUACGAAUGUUACCCAUCUCAGGCACAUGCAAAGCUUUUUUAGAAGAUAUGAAAAAACAUACAGAAACAUUUUUGGAACCCUGGUUUAAAGCUCCGAACAAAGGGACAGUUCAGAUUGUGUACCAAUCUCGAAAUAAUAGUCACAUGAAUAGAGAAGAAGUUAUCAGAGAAUGGGCAGGAAUAGUGGGCACCUUCAAUUCAGAAAAUAAAGUGAAUCUCACCAAUCCACAGUACACGGUGGUAGUAGAAAUCAUCAAAGCUGUCUGUUGCCUGAGUGUUGUGAAAGAUUGCAUGUUGUUGAGAAAAUACAAUCUCCAGGAGGUAGUGAAGAGCCCUAAGGAUCCAUCACAGCUUAACUCAAAGCAGGGAAAUGGGAAAGAAACUAAAUUGGAAGCUGCUGACAUCAGAUCAAAACAACAUAGCAGAAGGAAAAAAUAACCAGCAGGUACCAGAGAAUACUGAGGAGCUGGGGCAGACAAAACCAACGUCUAAUCCGCAGGUGGUGAAUGAGGGAGGAGGCAAACCUGAACUUGCAAGUCAAGCCACAGAAGGACCCAAAUCAAAUGAAAAUGACCUCUCAUAGGAGGUCAUUUGGUGUUGAGGUGGGUUUUCAACUGGGAUUCUGUGAGAUGUUGUGGGGUUCCACCUGAAAUUGUGACUAAAAACAGUUUUUUAUUUGUGUGCUGCAUUAUGCUGUUCUCACAGUAGUGAACAAUGAUUGCGCAGCCCUAUUAACAGUUUUGUUAGGGAUCUUUAGCCCUUCUGGUAUUAUGUAUAGGCAGACCCAUGUGCUACUAUUGCAAAGAGGGGAGGAUGGGAGAAGGGGGAUAUUGGCCUCUCCUAGGCUUCUCUUAUGCAGCUGACUUAUGGGAGUAAACUGACUGUGAAGUAGAAAAUCAGAAGGAAGUUUUCAUUCUAAGGAAGGAGUUUUUACAUGCCACAACUUAGCUGUCCACCUGCCACUUUGUUGUAAACACUGCAAAAAUGUGGAUCAUGUAGGUUAGAACUGAAUUGUUUACUGAAGUUUUUGGACUUUUGUGAUUUUCUUGUUUGGUUAUGUCUGUUUUUAUAUUUUAUUAACAUUGGUGUGUAACAAAGCUGACAGUUCAGUGCUGCAAUUCUGGAAGGCAAGAUAUGAGAAAGGAGAACCAUUUAGGCACAGAGCUACAGACAUUUCUGAAAAAGUUGUUGAUGAAUUUCAGUCUUCUGAGCAUACUUCAGUAUACUAAUAUGACAAAGGACACCAAGAAAUUCUGUCUUUAUAACAAAAGCUACUUCUCAAGGGUUUUAUAUGGACUCAUUCCAAGCUGUCCUGUCUUUGCAAAGACAGGACAUUGUCUGUGGCAUGCAACUUAGAAAACUAGCAGUUGUAAACUAGCAGUUGUAACUAUAAAUCAUAGCCACUUGAGAAGAAAGGAUAUUCAUUAUUUUCAAAUGGCUUUCGGAUUAUCAAAACAGUAAGGCUUUUGUUCAGAAACCACAUUUAGUCAAAAGGUUUAGGAAGCAAAUGAUUUAGUAGCAGAACUUAUCUCAGGAAAGGAGAAUAUGCAUAGUUGGUGAGAAUCUAAUAAUAACAUUAAAAUGCUGGGGCAAAAUGCAGUACAAAAUUGAAAAGACUUUAUUCUCAGUAAGUUGAUUUACCGAUAUUUCAUGUGAUACUAAAAAGAUUUUGUAUAAUUAACUGAAAAGGAGCAGCUUCUCCAUCCAGGAUGAUGGGUCGACAGGUUUCACUAAUAUUUGUCAUGCUGUAGCAUAUGUAAGAUUUGUAAAUGAUGAAAUUCAAAGAAAACUUCUUCUGUUGCUAGGAGCCUGCCAAAACAAAGGCCAGUAUAUAAUGUUGUGACAUCAUAUCUGAUAACCAGAGGUCUGUCAUCUACAUUCUUGGUGCCUUAUCAGUGGUUGUUUCCAUAAGUCAUUUUGCAUUAUUAAAAAAAAAAAAAAUCUUAGGCCAGGUGCGGUGGCUCAAGCCUGUAAUCCCAGCACUUUGGGAGGCUGAGGCGGGUGGAUCAUGAGGUCAAGAGAUCGAGACCAUCCUAGUCAACAUGAUGAAACCCCGUCUCUACUAAAAAUACAAAAAAUUAGCUGGGCAUGGUGGCACGUGCCUGUAAUCCCAGCUACUCAGGAGGCUGAGGCAGUAGAAUUGCUUGAACCCAGGAGGCGGAGGUUGCGGUGAGCCGAGAUCGUGCCAUUGCACUCCAGCCUGGGUAACGAGCAGGAGUGCAUCUCAAAAAAAAAAAAAUCUUGAUGUUGACGUUAUAGCAUACUGCUUUCUUCCCAGAGAUGUUGAUAUCAAAAACUUGAAGAUACAGUGAUGUUCUGAAUAAUGCUACAAAUCUGGUUACCUGUAUCAAAGACCCAUUUAUGCAGAAAUGUUAAAAAACACCCAAAAUGAAAACCUGGACAAACAGCAUAUAAACUUCUUGCACCGUACAGACAUCCAGUGGCCUAUCAGAGGAAGAGUUCUCUACAGGAUAUUUGAGUUGAAAGGUGAAUGCCAGAGUACUUACAAGGAAACAGCUUUUGCUGAGUGCUUUGGAAAUGAAAAAUGACUGCAGGAAGUAGCCAUUUAGUAGACAUUGUUCAUCAUAUGAACAAAUGAACAAGUCUCUGAAAGGUUCUGGGGAAAAAUAGUCUUUCUUAAAGUGACAAGAGUCUUAGAUCUAAAAGGAAACUGACUUGCCACCUUGCCAGAGGAGUUCUUGAACUGUUUCUGUAGUCACUUGGACUUGAAAAUGAAGAGUACAACCCUCAAAUCUUGCUCUAACCCACCUGGAGGAACCACAAAACCCAGUUAAAUAGCAUUUUUUUCUCCUUUUCCCAGCACUAGUAUAUAACUGCAUAUGAAGAACCUUUUCUCUAAAUCUGCUCAGCUUGAAAUUUUGUCUCUGAUGGAAGAGAAUGAACACAGCCCUAGUGGGAACAGUCCUAGGUUUGUGUGAAAUAAGCGUAUUCUUCAACUUCGUGCUCACACUCACAUACAAUGAGGUUUCCCUGCAGGGGUUUCCUGAAUUUGAGUGUUUUCAAGGCCUAUUUUUCGGUAAAGCAAUUGAAAAAGGCAGACACCAACAAAGUCUACAAAAUAAACUGUCCAGAUUAAGAAUAUUAAGGAGCUGUAAAGUUAGCUUGUGGAAAUAGGCUUAUCCUUAAGUUUUAAAAAGUUAGGAACUAGUAAAAAUGUUAGGCUUCCUGCACAAGUUGCUAUGUUUACUUAAUGGCUAGUGAACAUUGGAAUAUAUUUUUAUCCUCCAAACUAGUGGUUCUGUUUGGGAAAUGAGACUAGAAUGAUUUGAGAGGGGCAAAGAUAAUAGGCAGGACUUUCCUUCUAUAGCUUUAUAUAUUCAGAAUGUUAAUGAUGUUGAAGUUACCUUGAAAGGAUUGAUAAGACUAUUCUUUUUUUUUUUUUUUUUUUUUUUUUAACGCCCGUUCCCCACCUUCAAUAAGAGGAUUCUUAAUAUCAUUUAGGAGAAUAGGGAGGAUAGGAUUUUGGUGCCUUCUCCAGCAGACUUGCUCUACGACAAAAAUUCUUUUGAUAGUGCAAGACAAAAGGACUUAGGAAAAAAUUGGCCAUAUGCCUACAUACAACUCUGUGGAACUAAGUUGUUUUUACUUUGUGAAAGCUGCUACUCUAUGGAAAGAUUUUGAUUUUAUAGUUUGUUUUUAAUUGCCUUUUAUAUUUAUUUGCAUUUGGUAAGGCUCGGUAGUUAUACAGGCUGUUCUUUCCCGGCUACAAAAUCCUGUGUUUGGUUGUAACGUGAACUCAUUAAAAGAUUUGUUUUCAGGUUUAUCAACUGUUUAUUUUCACUGACAUUUGAACAUGUUAUUUUAUAAAUGAUGAGGUUCCAGGGUAGGAACUGAGUGCUUUUUAUUCCCCUUUUUUUCUUUUAAAAAAUUAUGUCAGUUAAAAACACAAAAACUGCCGUCUGUGGUUUAUAAAACUUGUUCAGCUUCAUAGAGGAGAGUGCUAAACUUUGUAUUUUAAAACAUGUUUAUCUAAGGUUAAACAUAGUUUUCCAAUGUUAUUUUUAAUUUGUAUUUUGCUUUUGGUACGGCCAAAUAUCGAGCUUGUUUUUCAUAUUUCCUGAUAUUUUCAGAAAAAUGAAAAUAAAUUUGUUCCCUACAAAAAAAAAAAAAAAAAAGAAAGACUAGAAAAUAUCUCAUCUGAAAAUACUUGGUGUUGGAGGUGGAACCUA